UCUAACCACCCCUGCAGCCUCUGACUCACCCGGCCUCUGAUAACCACCGAUCUCUGCUCCAUGUCUGUGGGCAUCACUUGUACGGUGAGAUCCUGCAGCCCCGUCUUUCUGUGUUUGGCUUAGUUCACAGGACAUGGUGAUCAUCAGUGCCAUGAGUGUUGUCGCAAAUGGCAGAGCUCCCUUCUUUUUAAAGACCUGACUUCAUGGGUACACAUGCCGCGAGUUUUCAUCCGUUUAGAAUGGUGCUGCAGUGUACACAGGGGUAAAGAUGUCUCUCCAAUGUCUGAUUCAUUUCCUUCGGCUUUGUACCCAGUAGCAGGACAGCUGGACAGAGAGACAGAGACAGAGACAGAGACAGAGACAGAGACAGAGACAGAGACAGAGACAGAGGAUGGACAUGCCCAGUGCAGUCACCAUCACAGUUAUGGAAACUUCCAGCCAUGCUGAUCAAGUGGCCUCAAAGUAAGACCUCAAGCCAGUGAUCAGGACUGCACACUGCCGGCAGAACACGACUUCGGGUGAAAAUGAAGCCAAAGUUUGAGAGAAAAAUCUUACAUUAAAGUCACUGAAAGAUCUAAGUGGUCUCUCACGCAUGACUCAGGAAGGCCCCAGGCCUCCUAGAUAGCUCUUGCAGGUGGAUCCUGAAGGACCAUCAGACACCGGGGUUUCUAAGGCCCUCCAGGGCUUGGGCCCACAGCAGUCCUGUAGAAGUGGUGGCUCACGGCUGUGAUGUCCUCAGCACUCUGGGAGGCUGAGCAGCAGGGUCACAGGUCAGAGGCCAGCCUUGGCCACCUGGUGGCUCAGUGAGACCUUGUCUCAAAAACAAAAACAAAAAAAAAAAAACAAACCUAAAAAGGGCUGGGGAUAUAGCUUAGUGCAAAGGCCUCGAUUCAAUCCCCAGUACAGCUAAAAAAAAACAACAACCCCAAACAAUAAGAAAGUAAAUAGGUACAUAAAUAAAAAUGAAAGGCUUGAAUGGGAGAUAUCUAUAGUUGUGACUGUUGCCUAAUUAUGUUAAUUAUAAUUAGGUAUUAAACACUGGCAGUAUCUAUUAACUGCAUUACGCCAGGAAUGGAGGGAGAGACAGAGAUGGUAGAAGGCCCAUGAAGUGUUUAUAUUCCCAAACUUCCUUGGGCGACAAAGGAAAGCUGACUCCCGCAGCAGCAGGCAGGAGCACAUGGCGCGGACGGCAGCCUGUGUGGGGCAGGCCUGGUCCUCAUCAGCUCACUGCACUGAGCCUGGCUGGCUGUGGACCUGUUACCGGUUAACAACUGCUGUGACCUUCCUCGGGGACUGCAUGAAGCUCGUGGAGUGGGGGCGGGCAAAGCACUGAUGCAGAUUUACUGCAAACAACUCCUUGUGCCUGGAGCCUCACCCUAUCUGUGUCUGCGUUGAGUAAUAAGAUUUUCAGCCAAGCCCUGGAUCUUAGUGCAGUCCCUGCAAGGCCUCGGGAAAGGAUUUUCCCUAAGAGGAUGCAUGUAAGCAACUUGUGGAGGUACGCUAGUGUGGUUUUAAGUCAUGGGUCCCAGGCUUUGACAUUUGUCCCUCUUUACUGUGUGUGCUUUCAUGUUCAGGCCAACAGAGCAGGCAAUAAGUACUCGAAUGUGACUUUUAAGGCUGUUAUACAAUAUC